UAUGCCUCCAACUAAAACAUGACACACCAUUAGAGGACAAAUAUCCCAAAUACCAAAACAAAUAGACCAUAUGUGACCAAAAAAUAGAAUGUUCUUUCCCAAAGCUAUAGACAGAAAGAAUGUGAACCUUGACUGCAAAUAUAAUCAGGUUCCAUAGGUUAUCUCCUGUGUAACAUCCAAACACAAGAGACUAAGGACCUGACAAAAGUAGAUGUUGCAUAUCAAAUCAAACAAAGAUCGAAAUGAUAAGAGUAUUGAUUUUGUGUAGCUUAAUCGAGAUCGGAAGAGAAUUGUGCAGCAAAAGCUUCUAAUUCUGAGAAUUGUGCUAAUUCCAAUUUUAAUUUACCCGCUACUUGUUUCAUGGCUUUUAUUUGAGCCGCCAAUCCAACUCUGGAAUCGGAAAUACCCACAUUAAUUAAGGUCUGAUCCCAGCAUUGAAUAAAUCGCCAUAUAAGAAUAUUUGAUCAUCUGUAAUAGAAAUGACAUUAGUAGGAAUAUAAGCUGAAACAUCUCCGGAUUGGGUCUCAACUAUUGAUAAAGCAGUCAUACUUCCUUCACCUAACUGAGAACUUAGUAGAGAUGACCAAACUAGAGUGUAGCA